GACGAACACUGGCGGCGUGCUUAACACAUGCAAGUCGAACGAUGAAGCACCAGCUUGCUGGUGUGGAUUAGUGGCGAACGGGUGAGUAACACGUGAGUAACCUGCCCCUCACUCUGGGAUAAGCCUGGGAAACUGGGUCUAAUACUGGAUACGACCGAUCUCCGCAUGGAGUGUUGGUGGAAAGUUUUUGUGGUGGGGGAUGGACUCGCGGCCUAUCAGCUUGUUGGUGGGGUAGUGGCCUACCAAGGCGACGACGGGUAGCCGGCCUGAGAGGGCGACCGGCCACACUGGGACUGAGACACGGCCCAGACUCCUACGGGAGGCAGCAGUGGGGAAUAUUGCACAAUGGGCGAAAGCCUGAUGCAGCGACGCCGCGUGAGGGAUGACGGCCUUCGGGUUGUAAACCUCUUUCACCAGGGACGAAGCUAACGUGACGGUACCUGGAGAAGAAGCACCGGCUAACUACGUG
rnacentral:rRNA from 1 species